ensembl:lncRNA
GCUCAGGCAGCCAUGGUGCAGCAUCAGAGCAUGGAAGGGAUGUCCAUAUAGCAGGCGGCCCAAGGCAGCGCACAAGAUCAGCCAAGUUUCCCAGGCUGGAGAAGUGGGUCACUGUGCAUAGCAUACAGGGCCGUAGCAGAGGUGUCCUUCCCUCCCUGUGGGCAGAGAGCUUUCCUGCUGCCACGUGAAGCUGCCUUUCCACCUCCUGGACCGUGUCUGGCUUCUGCAGGCGGAAUGCUGGGACCCAGUCCAGAAAAGCAGGAAAGCAGCUCGGUGCACGCAGACAGCUUUACUCAUCUCAUGGAACAGCAGAACCGAUUCAGGUUCUUUCAUCCAGUGCACCCGGCCUCUGCAGCCCCCCAGCAGCAGCACCAAAGAGGGAAUGCAUCCUCAGUUCAAUCCCCUGCUCCCUCACACGCUGUCAGAAGCAUGUAACCACAACAACCGGCUUCAUCCUGGCUUUCUAGGGAGAGCAGAGGUGACAACUGCUUAAAGAGAAGGGAGGAGGAGAUAAUACUCGAGAGCUGUGCUGUCUUGUUUCCAGCCUCAAAUGCAUGCUCCGGGUGAAAACAUCUAAACUGUUUUUCAGAUUCGCAUCCCUUUCAGUGGGACCACUGAUGCUCUCAGGCUAACAGCAUUUUUAGUUCUGUACUCUUAAAAAAUGAAAUCCAAGCUGAUUGUAAUGGCUUUAUUUCCGCUGAAGAAUAUGGUUUACAGUAUGGAUAUAAAGACUGUCUUCACCUGAACGACAACUGGAAAGGUUCAUAUGCUUCAGUAAAGCACUGCUGGUUUGUUACAGACAGUAGUAUGCAUAAGAAUAAAUGUACUUUGCUAUUCCAAUUACAUGAUCAGCACUCAUGAAUGGGAGCCUGAGCUUUAUCUCCACUGACCCUGAGAAGCCCCUGGAGAUUUAUGAUGAAAUGAAGCAUAUGUUUUCUGGUGAUUUCUGGAAAAUGAAGAAACAACAACCACUCGUUCUGAUCUUCUCGGGAAACAAAGUGAUAUAUCAUCAGAGCUUCCAUAUUGCCGCAGGGGAAUUUGGAGGGUCCCUACUUUUACUCCCUCAGCACACGCGGAUUUGGCAAUGCUAUGCAGAUGAACAGCAAUUCUGGCUCUUGCUGAUAAAUCAGACCACUUUAAUAGGCUCAGGAAAAUGAUGUGGAAUGUAAAGUGUUCUGCCCUUGUAACCAGCACGGUGGAGCCGCAGGACAUGUUGGAAAUGACACAAUGAACCACUGUGUGCUCUUAUUUGGUAUGUUCACCUCUGUGAUAUUCAUAUUUUGUGUAGCUAUUUGAAGACUUGCCAUGCUCACCUGAGUCACCUUGCCACAUCCAUCACUAGUUGGCUAAAGCCUGAUGCUAAAAGUCUCACUGAUACAUAUUUGAAUUACUUCCCAUCCUUUAGUGGGCUUGGCAAUUUGUUUAUUAUUAAAUGCUUGAAUAUUCUACCCUUGAAGGCCAUCUAUUAACAUUUAGUGAAGAACUAAGGUACUUCACUGAGUCCUAGUGUCAUGUUAGUUACAAGGCACAGCAGUAGGGAUAUCUUUAUUUACAGAUCAUUAAGAAGAUGAGUUCUGCGGCAACAGGCAGAUAUAAUUGUUUUUCUUGAGCAUUUUCAAGGUAUUUGGUCAAGUGAAAACUAUGCAGACGCCUGCUGGCUGCAAAAUGAAAAGGAGAAAGAGAAGAGGGUAGUAUGGGGUUGGAGGAAAAGAGAGAUGACCCGAGAGAGGCCGCUGGCUUGAAGCAGUAUUAUUGAGGGGAACACAGAGAGAAGGAUCCAAAACGGUCAUUCUUCAAGUAGUGGUGGAGGGGUUGAGCAUGAGAAACACUGACACACUCUCUAUCCUAUUUCUGUGUCAACCACAGCAGAGUACCUGGACAUAAUGAUGUGGGAAGGAGUGCAGAAGCUUUGCAUUUCCUGGAAACAUUCUCAUCCGAGGGCAGCUGUCAGUUCUUUAGCAAAAGAGGUGGCUGAAGGACAGAGGGAGAAACCUAUGAGGAACAAAAGCAUCCAAGGAGCAGCCAGCAUGAUGGACUACGGUAAUUAGGAAGCUCUAAGACCUGUCUAACAUUUUAGGAGAACAAACUGAACUCUGGGCAGUGCCAGGCACAGGGUGUGUGAAACAGGCAUGAAGCCAUCCACGCCCAACAUUCCACAGCCACCCCUCCAGCCUCUGCCCAGCAAGCUGCACAACAGCCCCAGCACCAACUGGUAAACCAGAAGGUUUGAGAAGGGUCUGUCACUGCAGUGCUGUGCAAACGGAUGGAUACAAAUUCUCUUCACUUGUGCUCUUUUAAGCACAUGUGCAUUGCAGGUCUCUUUUGACAUCUCAGGAUAAACGGAUAUACUCUAAAUAAGCGCUAAUUUUAAGUCUUGAUUACUUUACUUUCUUGAGCUACAAGCUUGUUGAUGGUGUUUUCAGAGCUAUUCAGGAACUCCCUUUUCUUCCUUCUCCAUCCUCACGCAGCACAAUUCUCCAUUUUCUUUUUGAGUCACUCCCUCUUGCUCCUUUCUUCGAUUAUUUUAUUCUCCAAGACUUUGGCAAAAGUUAUCAUUCCUGAGAGAGCACCCAUGGUGCAGGAACUAUUGGAUUGCAUUAGAGAGAUGGGCUGAGAUUAAUGUAAACCACAGAGAGUGGAUUAGGAGAACAAUGAAAAAACUCUAAUGAGGUUUGCACAGCCUCGUUCACUUGAGGAGCAAAUUUCUUGACACUUCCCCUUGGAGUUCAAGAUGACACUUUAAUCUCACUAUUAAAAACAUGACCUAAGGAUCGACCAGGGUGGAGCAUGGGAAACAAUGUCCUUUUAAUUGUCUACUCUGGAGUAACAAUCUACUUAUGAUAUAACAGCCCUUGCCGUCUGGCUCCAGGCGAGUCAUACUCCCUUUGAGAGGGUUCUGAGAAAUGUUACUUUCAGUAGGUGGUACAUGACCAAAUUCCAGCUCUUAUCUUGGUUUCAGCAUGUGUGCAGUGAGAGGGACAGGCUUUUCUCAGAUCUCACCAGCCAAAUUACUUCUCAGGGCAUACCCAGGGCUUUCUCAGGGUUGUGUCAGUCUUCCAGCAGAAUGUUAAUAGUGCCCCUUCUAACAGUGUAGAUAGAGUUUGAGGCUGCUUGUGAUCUCCCAGAAAACUCACAGUGUUCC